CCCGGAGCUGGGCGCAGGUCCUGGAGAGGCUCUUCCUGCUGUCCUUGUCCAGGAAGGAGAAGAGGCACAGCAGGCACUCCCGAUUGAGCUGCGUUAUGUGCAUGAAACAUUGGUAUGUCAGCUCCUUUAUAUCACCACAGGAAGAUACUGAGUGAUGCUUUAUGAAGACAGCUGAGCAGAAUUCCUUCCAUCUCAAUUUGUUGUAGCUAACACAUACUAAUUGUACAGAUUAAUGGUUCACCGUGGUGAUGCACAUCAUUCCCAUUAUUUCUACUUUCAAGUUGUUGGUAUGUCUUCAUUUUCAAGUGUGAGUAGGAACAUGUGAUCCAUAUCUGUGUCUAGUUUAUUUAUUAUUUAUUUUUAUUAUUUGCAUUUUUUAAUUUAUUAUUCACUUACCAUGACAUCCUCUGGUUCCACCCAUUUCCCUGUAAAAGAUAGGAUCUACCAGGCCAGUGCAGUGGUGUCUUGAGAUGGGAACAUCAAGGAAGGUGUGGGCCUUCAAUUACUGUUUCAAGCCCAUUACUCAUCUGUUUAUACUUUGUGUUUCUUGGCUAAAUUUUGGUAGGUUGUAUGUGUUCAGGUAUUUACCCAUGUCUUGUAUAGUUUUUCAGAAUUUGAAAGAAUGGUUCAUGAUUUCUUUGUAUUUUUAUGGUAUCCAUCCUCUCUGGUUUUAUUUGGGUCUUCACUUUCUUGCUUAGUCUAUUUAUAGAUUGGUCGGAUUUUUUAUCUUUUCAAAAAGCUUUUACACUUUCCUAGUAGUUUCAAUUUUAUUUCCAAUUUGACCUUUAUUCUGCCCAUCUUUAUGUAUAUAUCUGUUGCAUAGCCUCUAUCAAUAUUACUUCUAAUGUUGUCAUUUUCAUGUUUCUAGAUGUUUUAUUUCCUUCUAUCUUCAAGGUCAUUUAAGAGCAAGUUGUUUCCCUUGUAUAUCCUCCUUAAUUUACAGUUUUCCUCUGUUGUGACUUCUUUGUUUUGAGACAGGAUCUCACCAAAAAGCCCAGGCUGGCCUCAAAUGUGAAAUUGUCCUGGCUUCCCUAGUGCUGGGAUUACAGGCAUGGACCACCACACCGAGACUUCCAUGUUUGGCCUAGCAUCUGAUCUUUCCUAAAGAAUUCUGCAUGUACUGAAAAGAACGUGUACUCUGCAGCUGCAAUACAUAUUCUGUAAAUGCUCAUUUGCUUCAUAGUAUGGCUCAACUCAGAUUUUCUGUCUGUCUGUCCACUAAGGAAGGUGAAGUACUGAAAUUCCCAGGUUUGAUUACACUGGAGUACUCCCUUUAGAAAUAAUAAUAUUUGGUGGGUCCAUGUGAGGUAUAGCUUCUGAGUCUAUCCAUUCCUUAGUAUGAUUUCUAGAGUUCUCCUGUUCCCUCAAAACACCAGUCCUCAAAAUAUACUUUUUCACCAGGCAGUGGUGGCGCACACCUUUAAUCCCAGCACUCAGGAGGCAGAGCCAGGCAGAUCGCUGUGAGUUUGAGGCCAGCCUGGUCUACAGAGUGAGAUCAGAACAGUCAGGGUCUCUGACUUGAGAAACAACACCACAAAGGUAAAGAGGAGAAACCUAAGUAUUUACCCUUCGUUGACCAACCAUGUGGAGGUGUUCUUCCUACAGGGUCUGGGAGUAGUAAGUACAACACAGUGUGAACCACACACAGAUAAAAAGCUGCCCAGACUGUGAGCUAACAGGAUAGCAACAUUAAAAUGCCCAUACCUCGUAAUGAGCAAACUGGCCCGCUUUCCUGGUUCUUAGAGCGCUUGCUUCUGAACUGACUUGGAAUAUCUAAAGAGAGAUCUUAAAAGAAGAGAACCAGAGUUAUUAAAGGCACUUGAAUUCACUACAGAUUUACCAAAAAACAAAAAACAACAACAAAACCCAGCAGCACAGCUCGUGCCAGUCCCCUUACCUAGGAAUGGAUCAAACUUCCUCGACUCUGUCCCACAGAUGAGGCAGUUGACCUCAUUCUGGAGAAUUCCUCCGAAUAUUGCUGUGACAACAGUUGAUGCUCCAUUUCUAAAGAAACACCACAUGGGAAACAGCUCAUAAAAAUUGUUCUUAGUUCUUAAGACAUUAACACUGGGCAAACAGAUCUCAUGAAUGACUGCACAUGUGAUAGAUGACGGCUUCCCCAGCAGAAUACACCCAUCAGAAAAGUGCGGCCUUGCGUUUUACUCCUGCACUGUGCAAGGCCUUGCUGAGGCUACAGAAUGUUCCAAACUACUUGAUGUCAUAUCCUCAACCUGAGGAAAUAAAGACAUUUACUACAGCUUGAGUUAAUAACCACUACAGGUGUCACCAGUAACUGCUUGUGAACAAAUGAAGAAAUGGGUUAUGAAGACCCAAAUGCAGUCUCCAUGACACACCAGAAUGAAGAGAAAAGACUAAAGGAAAUAACAAAGAUUUCGAUAUUAAUGGGGUUCUUUACAAUCAAAUUGUUAGACCUAAGAUUAUCCUCUUCUUUGAUGCCUACAAAAAGACUGGCAGACAAUCUCUCAAAGUGAUAUGAGAAAUCACACUGCCAAUACAAGAUGCCUAACAGACCUGGAAGUGUCCUUUCCAAAUGGAAGGCCAAGAAAGGAUACACUGAUGGAACACAGUAGAGGGGACAAGGGGUAAGGGUCGGUCUCUUCAUAACAACUUGUGGCAUAUUAAGACACACAUUUUGAAGACAAAUGACUAUUUUGAUAAAGAAUAACCAGACAAACUGUCACCAAUGAAGCACCUGGUCAGGUUGGAAAGCAACACACUGAAUAAUGUGUGUUAUUAUGUAUUGGUCCUGCCUAAAAACAGAAUAAUCUACAAGAUGGCUAAGAGCCAAGAGCAGCUAGGUUUGAUGUGGCAGAGGACGCCUGUAAUCCUGAGGCAGGAGGAUCACCAAGUCCAGACCAGCCUAGACAACCAAGUAAUGACCUCAUCUCAACAGAAAAAAAACAAACAAACAAAAAAAAUAACUUUACACAAGUGGGGUCUGUAUUCUCACCAGAUACUCAGGAGACUGAGGCAGGAGGAUCCUAAGUUUAGGUCAGCAUGGACAACCUAAUGAGACCUUGUCUCAAAUUAAAAAGGGCUGAGGAUAGCUCAGUUGUAGAGCACUUACCUACCAUGUGCAAGGCUCUAAGUCCAAUUCCUAAUACCACACGUCAAAACAGGAGUAAGAUAACAGGUGUGUUGGGGAAUAUUAUUUUAAAGUGUGUUACUUUUGUUUAUGUUGCAUUUAUUUAACUCUGUGAAGCUGUGUUACUGUGCUUGUCUAAAACAUCUGAUGGUCUAAAAUCAUCAUACACAAGUGGGGUCUGUAUUCUCCCCAGCUACUCGGGAGACUACACUGAAGUAGAGCUGCCACAUUAGAUGAGGAAACCGAUGCUGUAGAGUAUUAUUUUAAGAUGUGUUACAUUUGUUUAUGCUGUGGAACAUUUGUUUAAUGAUGUAAAGUUGUGUUGCAUUCUUUUA